UACGUAGGGCGCAAGCGUUAUCCGGAAUUAUUGGGCGUAAAGAGCUCGUAGGCGGUUUGUCGCGUCUGCCGUGAAAGUCCGGGGCUCAACUCCGGAUCUGCGGUGGGUACGGGCAGACUAGAGUGCGGUAGGGGGAGACUGGAAUUCCUGGUGUAGCGGUGAAAUGCGCAGAUAUCAGGAGGAACACCGGUGGCGAAGGCGGGACUCUGGGCCGAUACUGACGCUGAGGAGCGAAAGCGUGGGGAGCAAACAGG
rnacentral:rRNA from 1 species